CUUAACACAUGCAAGUCGAGGGGCAGCAUUUCAGUUUGCUUGCAAACUGGAGAUGGCGACCGGCGCACGGGUGAGUAACACGUAUCCAACCUGCCGAUAACUCGGGGAUAGCCUUUCGAAAGAAAGAUUAAUACCCGAUGGUAUAAUCAGACCGCAUGGUCUUGUUAUUAAAGAAUUUCGGUUAUCGAUGGGGAUGCGUUCCAUUAGGCAGUUGGUGAGGUAACGGCUCACCAAACCUUCGAUGGAUAGGGGUUCUGAGAGGAAGGUCCCCCACAUUGGAACUGAGACACGGUCCAAACUCCUACGGGAGGCAGCAGUGAGGAAUAUUGGUCAAUGGGCGCAGGCCUGAACCAGCCAAGUAGCGUGAAGGAUGACUGCCCUAUGGGUUGUAAACUUCUUUUAUAUGGGAAUAAAGUUUUCCACGUGUGGAAUUUUGUAUGUACCAUAUGAAUAAGGAUCGGCUAACUCCGUGCCAGCAGCCGCGGUAAUACGGAGGAUCCGAGCGUUAUCCGGAUUUAUUGGGUUUAAAGGGAGCGUAGGUGGACAGUUAAGUCAGUUGUGAAAGUUUGCGGCUCAACCGUAAAAUUGCAGUUGAUACUGGCUGUCUUGAGUACAGUAGAGGUGGGCGGAAUUCGUGGUGUAGCGGUGAAAUGCUUAGAUAUCACGAAGAACUCCGAUUGCGAAGGCAGCUCACUGGACUGCAACUGACACUGAUGCUCGAAAGUGUGGGUAUCAAACAGGAUUAGAUACCCUGGUAGUCCACACAGUAAACGAUGAAUACUCGCUGUUUGCGAUAUACAGUAAGCGGCCAAGCGAAAGCAUUAAGUAUUCCACCUGGGGAGUACGCCGGCAACGGUGAAACUCAAAGGAAUUGACGGGGGCCCGCACAAGCGGAGGAACAUGUGGUUUAAUUCGAUGAUACGCGAGGAACCUUACCCGGGCUUAAAUUGCAUUUGAAUAUAUUGGAAACAGUAUAGCCGUAAGGCAAAUGUGAAGGUGCUGCAUGGUUGUCGUCAGCUCGUGCCGUGAGGUGUCGGCUUAAGUGCCAUAACGAGCGCAACCCUUAUCUUUAGUUACUAACAGGUCAUGCUGAGGACUCUAGAGAGACUGCCGUCGUAAGAUGUGAGGAAGGUGGGGAUGACGUCAAAUCAGCACGGCCCUUACGUCCGGGGCUACACACGUGUUACAAUGGGGGGUACAGAAGGCAGCUACCUGGUGACAGGAUGCUAAUCCCAAAAGCCUCUCUCAGUUCGGAUCGAAGUCUGCAACCCGACUUCGUGAAGCUGGAUUCGCUAGUAAUCGCGCAUCAGCCAUGGCGCGGUGAAUACGUUCCCGGGCCUUGUACACACCGCCCGUCAAGCCAUGAAAGCCGGGGGUACCUGAAGUACGUAACCGCAAGGAGCGUCCUAGGGUAAAACUGGUAAUUGGGGCUAAGU
rnacentral:rRNA from 1 species